rnacentral:rRNA from 1 species
UACAGGGGGGGCAAGCGUUGUUCGGAAUUACUGGGCGUAAAGGGUUUGUAGGUGGCCACUUAAGUCAGACGUGAAAUCCCUCAGCUUAACUGGGGAACUGCGUCUGAUACUGCGUGGCUUGAGUGCAGGAGAGGAACGCGGAAUUCCAGGUGUAGCGGUGAAAUGCGUAGAUAUCAGGAGGAACACCGGUGGCGAAAGCGCACAACUGGCCCGAUACUGACGCUGAUGCGCGAAAGCUAGGGGAGCAAACGGG